GAUGAACGCUGGCGGCGUGCCUAAUACAUGCAAGUCGAGCGAACAGAUGAGGAGCUUGCUCCUCUGACGUUAGCGGCGGACGGGUGAGUAACACGUGGAUAACCUACCUAUAAGACUGGGAUAACUUCGGGAAACCGGAGCUAAUACCGGAUAAUAUAUUGAACCGCAUGGUUCAAUAGUGAAAGACGGUUUUGCUGUCACUUAUAGAUGGAUCCGCGCCGCAUUAGCUAGUUGGUAAGGUAACGGCUUACCAAGGCAACGAUGCGUAGCCGACCUGAGAGGGUGAGCGGCCACACUGGAACUGAGACACGGUCCAGACUCCUACGGGAGGCAGCAGUAGGGAAUCUUCCGCAAUGGGCGAAAGCCUGACGGAGCAACGCCGCGUGAGUGAUGAAGGUCUUCGGAUCGUAAAACUCUGUUAUUAGGGAAGAACAAAUGUGUAAGUAACUAUGAACGUCUUGACGGUACCUAAUCAGAAAGCCACGGCUAACUACGUG
rnacentral:rRNA from 1 species